GUUUGAAAAAAAUAACUAUCAGCGAUAGAUUUGUCUGUUUGUUAUUUCUAAAAUGGCAGCAUCGGGGGUACUGGCUAUAAAAACCACGAUAACUAGGCCGCCCCUCUAUAGCACAACACGUUCCACGCAGGAAACCAAGGGCAGAAAAAAUCAAAUUCCUUCCUACGGGGGCGCACUAUCUCAUCCGUGGCAUGCUAAUUAAUGAACACACGUGGCUUACAGCAAUUAUUCGACAAUAUAUAUUACUUUUAAACUUGUGGAGAACACAGCGACACUAAGGCAAGCUCACAAUUUUGUU